AGAAGAGCCAAAGCUGACAAUACCAUGCACUUCCCAUGCGCCAUCUGCAUUUUGACAGUUCAGUGGACCACCAGAGUCCCCCUGAGAAGAAGAGGAAACGUGGUUAAUGGCGUGAGUAGUUCUUCCUUGUGUUUUAAGCUUUCCUUCCCAUCAGGCCGGGUUGUGUUAAGCCAAGCCCUGAGAGUGGUGUUCUCUGGACUCACGUUACAACUGGAGGUGAUUCCAUCUCCACCAGCGCACACCAUGUUGGUUUUCACCGUGCUUCCCCACCAGUUGGUCUUGGAACAAGUUGCAUAAUCUACUACCAGCAACAGGCCUUGCUGCAGUUCAUCUGGGAGAGCUCCAUUUGCUGGGAAGUAACGGAAAUGAAGGAGUCAUGAUACCAGCUGGCAAUGAAGGAAGAGCAAAAGUGCACUGCUAAGCUUCUCCCAGGAUCUGCAUGCUAUUCCUCCAGUCAAUCCCAAGGAAGAUGGCAGUGCUGAAGGCCUUUGCUUUGCAGUUUUGCCCGUCUCCCACUACUCACUCUGCAGUCUUCCCCAUCCCGUCACGUAGCAGGCAGUGUUGGAUGACAGGAUGCUUUCUGCAGGAGGGAGGCAGGCCAGCUUGAUUUUGUCACUCAGUUCAACGUGUUCGGUUCCCUUCACCAAAAACAGAUGCAUAUGUGAGGACCAAUUACAGGCACCUGGAAAAUGAGAUGGUUUCUUUGCUAAUGCGCUCAGCCCACCAGCAUGCACAGGAGUCCUUCAAAUUCCCUACAAAGGAGGAAAGGUAUGGACUGGAGCGAACACUUUGAAGUCUUUGAAGUUU
rnacentral:lncRNA from 1 species